rnacentral:rRNA from 1 species
UGCGCAGGCGGCUUUGUAAGUCAGAUGUGAAAUCCCCGGGCUUAACCUGGGAAUUGCGUUUGAAACUACAAAGCUAGAGUGUAGCAGAGGGGGGUGGAAUUCCAUGUGUAGCAGUGAAAUGCGUAGAGAUAUGGAAGAACAUCGAUGGCGAAGGCAGCCCCCUGGGUUAACACUGACGCUCAUGCACGAAAGCGUGGGGAGCAAACA